AUUCAGACGGCGUUGAGUACGACGAACGUAUUCCAGCCAACUCACUUAACUGACUAAUGGUUUGCCUACAUUUCAUCAGGAAUAAACAAAUUAAAGUUGCACACGGCACGCAACACAUUCGAGCAUCAAUCACACUCUCACAAUUUAACACAUCUGUGGCCGGAUUAUGGUAGAUGACAUUAAGACUAAAUUUUGAAUUUUUCUUUGCAUUUUCUGUACCAACUAUGGACAGCUGAUGUACCACUUACGAAUAAGUCGACUUAAGUCAAAUGUGAGGUUCCUUCGUUGCCCGGUUAAUCAACAAUGAAUUGUUAGAAAAAGCCGAGAAACAGUUAAGUCUGUAAUGUGAAUUUUGAGACAUUCAUUGAGUUUACCCAACCAAGUCAGGAUGAAAAACAGGCUGAUAGCCUAUGCUGUAUAGUGACCAUACAGCCAACAGAAGAAGAAGAAGAAGAAGAAGAAGAAGAGGAGGAACAAGAAGAAGAAGAGGAAGAAGAAGAAGAAGAAGCAGAUGACUUGUUCUGUGGGAGUUUCCUUUCAUAGUUCUAUACAGAAAGGGAUGAUUUCUAUUUCCUGCAAUUUCAUAGCAAAAGACUAGUUGCUUUAAAAUGGCAGCUUAAAUUUCAUCAAUUUGUGAUAAAGAACAGACACUGUCAAUUGUAAGGGCGAUUUUGUUAUAUUUAGUCAGUUUUUAUUUCUAAUACUUGCAUUUAAUUUAUUUUACUCAUUAUUUAUUACUAUUUAAUGUAUUUAUUGUAUUUAUUUUAUUUAUUUACUUAUUACCGCUAUGUAAUGCAUUGUUUUUACAAUAAAUAAUAUUUUUGCAGUAA